rnacentral:rRNA from 1 species
UACGUAGGGUGCGAGCGUUGUCCGGAAUUAUUGGGCGUAAAGAGCUCGUAGGCGGCUUGUCGCGUCGGAUGUGAAAGCCCGGGGCUUAACUCCGGGUCUGCAUUCGAUACGGGCAGGCUAGAGUUCGGUAGGGGAGAUCGGAAUUCCUGGUGUAGCGGUGAAAUGCGCAGAUAUCAGGAGGAACACCGGUGGCGAAGGCGGAUCUCUGGAACGCAACUGACGCUGAGACGCGAAAGCGUGGGGAGCAAACAGG